UCAGCUCGUGUUGUGAAAUGUUGGGUUAAGUCCCGCAACGAGCGCAACCCUUAUCCUUUGUUGCCAGCACGUUAUGGUGGGAACUCAAAGGAGACCGCCGGUGAUAAACCGGAGGAAGGUGGGGAUGACGUCAAGUCAUCAUGGCCCUUACGAGUAGGGCUACACACAUGCUACAAUGGCGUAUACAAAGAGAAGCGACCUCGCGAGAGCAAGCGGAACUCAUAAAAUACGUCGUAGUCCGGAUUGGAGUCUGCAACUCGACUCCAUGAAGUGGGAAUCGCUAGUAAUCGUAGAUCAGAAUGCUACGGUGAAUACGUGCCCGGGCCUUGUACACACCGCCCGUCACACCAUGGGAGUGGGUUGCAAAAGAAGUAGGUAGCUUAACCUUCGGGAGGGCGCUUACCACUUUGUGAUUCAU
rnacentral:rRNA from 1 species